rnacentral:rRNA from 1 species
AAGGAACGCUAAUACCGCAUACGUCCUACGGGAGAAAGUGGGGGAUCUUCGGACCUCACGCUAUCAGAUGAGCCUAGGUCGGAUUAGUUAGUUGGUGAGGUAAAGGCUCACCAAGGCGACGAUCCGUAACUGGUCUGAGAGGAUGAUCAGUCACACUGGAACUGAGACACGGUCCAGACUCCUACGGGAGGCAGCAGUGGGGAAUAUUGGACAAUGGGCGAAAGCCUGAUCCAGCCAUGCCGCGUGUGUGAAGAAGGUCUUCGGAUUGUAAAGCACUUUAAGUUGGGAGGAAGGGCAUUAAGUUAAUACCUUGCUGUUUUGACGUUACCGACGGAGUAAGCACCGGCUAACUUCGUGCCAGCAGCCGCGGUAAUACGAAGGGUGCAAGCGUUAAUCGGAAUUACUGGGCGUAAAGCGCGCGUAGGUGGUUCGUUAAGUUGGAUGUGAAAAGCCCCGGGCUCAACCUGGG